AUCCAUACUCUUAACAAAAGUCUUGCCAAAUGUUAACCGGAGAUACCCCAUUUUUGGUGUUUUUUGCCUUUCCCCGUUUGUUAUUCAUCUACAUUUCUUUUCAACUAUUAGUUUGAUUGAAUGUAUUUCUUCUCCAUGAACACAAUCGGGUGAGAGAGAUUCUCUCAUGAUUUCUGGGUUUUUUUCUCCUCAUUUAUUGUUUUCUUUUUCUCUAUUUUUUUCUUCAGCAACAGGAAAUAAUGGCAGAAAGUUUGGUAUGAGAGAUGAAAAUUGCUUGACUACAUAUAUGUAUGUAAGGAGCUAAAAGUAAUGGAAAGAAGAAAAAUUAUAGCUUUCGGGGAUUUUGGUCAUCGAACAUUUCACAAAGGAUUUUGGAGCUUUUGUCAUUCUCGUAGUUAAUGCCUUAGACUCAAUGAAAUGUGUGGCUGCUGUAAAAAGGAAAGGAGAAGUGCAAGAAGAGGAUAUUUGCAUGAAGUUUCUUACUUCCUUUUCAUUGAUGAAGAAAGAGGUGAGUGAAGAUCCAUUCAUCUUGCUUCUUGCAAAGGUAGUAGAAGUUUUAUGUAUUUUGAUUGUCUUAAUUUAAUUUUUUUCCCGGUUGAUUUGGAAGAAGCUGAAUACAUAGUGUUCAAGUACAUAUGGUGAAUAGAGGAGGAAUAGAGAAAUACAACUUAUGAUAUGAGGUUGGGACUUGGGAAUUUGUAAGAAUGUGACAAAUUAACUAUAUCUUUAUGAAUUGUUGAUGUCAAACAUGAAUACAAGAUUGAUCAAGUAGUUGGUACUUAGAGAAAAUUUGUCUCAAUGAUGAAAUUGGUAAUGUCCAUGUUAAGAAAGAUUGUGAAGGCUGUGAAAAUUGACAAUGAUGAAUAUGAGUUUAAGAUUGUGAAGGUUGUGUCAA